GAUGAACGCUGGCGGCGUGCCUAAUACAUGCAAGUCGAGCGAACAGACGAGGAGCUUGCUCCUCUGACGUUAGCGGCGGACGGGUGAGUAACACGUGGAUAACCUACCUAUAAGACUGGGAUAACUUCGGGAAACCGGAGCUAAUACCGGAUAAUAUAUUGAACCGCAUGGUUCAAUAGUGAAAGACGGUUUUGCUGUCACUUAUAGAUGGAUCCGCGCCGCAUUAGCUAGUUGGUAAGGUAACGGCUUACCAAGGCAACGAUGCGUAGCCGACCUGAGAGGGUGUUCGGCAACCUUGGAACUGGGAACCGGCCAGACUCCUACGGGAGGCAGCAGUAGGGAAUCUUCCGCAAUGGGCGAAAGCCUGACGGAGCAACGCCGCGUGAGUGAUGAAGGUCUUCGGAUCGUAAAACUCUGUUAUUAGGGAAGAACAAAUGUGUAAGUAACUAUGCACGUCUUGACGGUACCUAAUCAGAAAGCCACGGCUAACUACGUG
rnacentral:rRNA from 1 species